UACGGGGGGGGCAAGCGUUGUUCGGAAUUACUGGGCGUAAAGGGCUCGUAGGCGGCCAACUAAGUCGGAUGUGAAAUCCCCAGGCUCAACCUGGGAACUGCAUCCGAUACUGGAUGGCUUGAAUUCGGGAGAGGGAUGCAGAAUUCCAGGUGUAGCGGUGAAAUGCGUAGAUAUCAGGAAGAACACCGGUGGCGAAGGCGGCUCUCUGGGCCUUACCUGACGCUGAGGAGCGAAAGCGUGGGUAGCGAACAGG
rnacentral:rRNA from 1 species